rnacentral:lncRNA from 1 species
GUCAUGUUGUUGGAUGGCACCAGUAUGUGACGUUCCUAGGAACUUAGCUCUGAGGAAAAAACAAAGCAAACCGGGGAAGUACGUAGCCUUGAACCGGAGUAACCAGGGACAGAAAGGAAGGAAAAGGGUUUCAUACCUUCACGGAACGACGCUCACUUCGUCCGCCUGAGGAGGAAAAAUAAGUUUAAACCUUUCUGUGAAAAAGAACGUGGAGCCCUUUCUGCCGAAUGGAAACCCGCUAAACCCCGUUAUGGAGUCUGCUACAAUUAAGCAUCUAACCAGGAAUUGUCUAUGGACACAACUCUCCAGGCAAUUCAUGCAGAAAGUGUGUUGACGAUUUCCUGUUUCUUGCAGAGCGCUUCACCGUUAAGGCUCUUAGUAGCUGGCGAUUGUAAAGCACAUUUUCCGCUUCAUGAAAAUACAGUGCUCUUCUUGUGUUUGUAACCUUGGAAAAUGGAGUCUCCCUGUGUCACCCAGGCUGGAGUGCAGUGGCAUGAUCUCGGCUCACUGCAACCUCUGCCUCCCAGGUUCAAGCGAUUCUCCUGCCUCAGCCUCCUGAGUAGCUGGGAUUACAGGCGUGCACCACUAUGGCCGGCUAACGUUUGUAUUUUUUUUUCAGUAGAGACGGGGUUUCACCAUGUUGGCCAGGCUGGUCUCGAACUCCUGACCUCAGGUGAUCCACCUGCCUCAGCCUCCCAAAGUGUUGGGAUUACAAGCAUGAGCCACCGCAUCCAACCUCAGGUAUUUCUUUAUAGCAAUGCAAGAAUGGACUAAUAUACUCCUGCAGACGUGGGAAAAAGUGCAGACUCCACACAGACGGUAAGCCUGGCCAGGAAUCAAUGUUUUGUUUCCUUCUCAACAACAUUUUAAUGCAAAUGAUGUUGAAAAAAAAGUUAUUCAAGGACCUGCUGUAUCGUAAUUUGCUAUCAAUUUCCAAACUCUAGAAUAUGAGCAUUGGAACUUUAGCUGUUUUGUCUGUUUUUGUUAUUUUGAGAUGGAGUCUUGCUCUGUUGCCCAGGCUGGAGUACAGUGGCACGAUCUCGGCUCACUGUAACCUCUGCCUCCCGGGUUCAAGUGAUUCUCCUGCCUCAGCCUCCCGAGUAGCUAGAACUACAGGCAUGUGCCACCACGCUUGGCUAAUUUUUGUAUUUCUAGUAGAGACGGGGUUUCUCCAUGUUGGCCAGGCUGUUCUCAAACUCCUGGCCUCAGGUGAUCCACCCGCCUCAGCCUCCCUAAGUGCUGGGAUUACAAGUGUGAGCCACCGUGCCCGGCCUAACUUAGGUCUUUUAUUUACUGACACAUCCCCUGCAUACCUUAUAAUGCCUGGCACAUGUUAAAUGAUGAAUAAAAGAAUGCUAUGCUUGGCUGAACUGAA